rnacentral:RNase_P_RNA from 1 species
CCAGACGGCUGGACGGCCGCUGGCCCCGGAGCGAUCCGGGGCUGGAGGAAAGUCCGGGCUCCACGGGAACACGGUGCCGGCCAACAGCCGGCGGGGGCGACCCCAGGGACAGUGCCACAGAGAACAGACCGCCCGGACUCGGCGGCCGGAAGCGAUUCCGGCGCGGCCGCCUCCAGGCAAGGGUGAAACGGUGCGGCAAGAGCGCACCGCGCCCCCGGCAACGGGGGCGGCAGGGCAAACCCCACCGGGAGCAAGGCCGAAUAGGGAUGGCCGGCGAGGCCGCGCGAGGGGCGACCCGGAAACGGGAAAUGCCGGCGCGCGGCGGACGCGGACGCGUUCCCGCGUCGCCGUCCGGGUUGGCCGCGUCAGGCCCGUCGCGAGACGGGUCGCAGAGGAAUGGCCGUCCCGCCCCGCAAGGGGCGGACAGAACCCGGCUUACAGGCCGUCUGGCGCA